rnacentral:lncRNA from 1 species
UCAAUUUUACAGAAUAACAGACAUAAAUUACUUUUGGUUUGUCUUGUGAACUCUUUUAGGUCGUCCAUUAUUAUAAUUAGUUGCUGGUGGUUUUCCUGGACAGCGGCACCUGUUUGUUUCAUCACAUAUGGGAUUUAGGUCUAUGCAAUCUACCACCUAACACAAUCGUCAUCACUUGAGCACGCAGCGUUGCUUCCUUGUCCUACCAACAUUCAUGGACAUGUAGUAGAAUAUUUUUAUAAACGAUGACAAAUAGUUGAAUAAGUGAAUAAAUGAAUAAAAUAGAGUAUAAUAACAGGUGAUGUAAUUAUACAUAUUUAACAAAAAAAUAAAUGAUGAAGCAGAAUAUCGGGACUAGGGCUGGGCAUAAAAUAUCAAAAACAGAAUUACCGAACCGAACCAAAAAAUUUAGUAAUUGGUAUUCAAUAAUUCGGUAUUUGGUAUGGUAUUUGGGAGUAAAACUUUAAUAUUUCGGUAUUCAAGAUUGGGUUUGGUAAAAGAUAUUAAUACCGUUUGGUAUUCGGUAAAAUACGAUAUGUCUAACCAACUCAAUAGACAAUAGUAUUGGUCAAUCCCAAAGAAUCUCUUGAACCUUAGUAAUAUAUUCGUAAAAGCAACAAAAGGAAUACUAAAUAGGGUUUUUAUUAAAUAUAUUCUUUGAAGUUUAAACGUACAUUUGGACAUUUUCAACUUUAAUAUGGUUUUACCAAAAACCGUACCAAAAAGAAGUUUAAUUUACUGAUUACUGAAUUACCGUACAGAUGUUUAUAAGUAUGGUAUGUGAUAUCUACUUUCAAAUAUUGAUUAACGAAUUACCGAACCCGAAAUUUAAAAUACCAAAUCAAAUACCGAAUGCCCACCCCUACUCGUGACAUUGCUUGGAGCACAUUAUAUCCGCCUCUAAAUUAAGUUAUUGAAACAAAAAAAAUAACUAGAGUUAGGUUUUAUAUAACAUAUAUUUAUUACUAGUAACCUACAAUGAAUGAUAAAUGGCAUGAGCGAUAACAAGUUAGAUUACUAAUGUAAAAUUGUCAUAACAUUGUACGUGGAUAAACCUUAAUGAAAUCCCAUUCAUGAUAUGAAUAAAGAUACACAAAUUUCUAAAUUUAUAGAGUCGAAGUUGGUUGAUAAGAAAAUGCAAUGAUCAUACAAUUGCUUGCCUGUCGUAACUAGCAACUUUGACGUUAUUGAAAAGAAGAAAAUAAGUAGAGUUAUCAUAUUUUAUAAUAUAUAAAAAAAAAAAAUUGAUUUAAACUUAUCAAGAUUUAAAUUGCUUACCUAACAAAAUAAGUAAAAAGGAGACCAAGAAAAUCUUAAAGAAUGUUGCCUUGUUCAUUCUUUUCCAAGUUUUGUGAUAGCUAAAUAGGA